CACAGAGAGUGAGGCUCCCACUGAAAACACGCAGGAAAAACAGAAACACUCUGCAAUGAGGGGAAACAGCGCCCUCUGCAGGCCAGGCAGGGCCACUACAGGGCUGGUCGGAGGGCAGCACCACGAUAAUUGCCCCUGUAGAUUAAAAAAGAACGGGGAGAUGCGGCGGCGGCGGCGGCGGGUCGGGGAAGCGCUCAGACCAGCUGCCACUCGAAGGCGAACAUGACGUUGACGACCUCCAGGCUGCGGGCGAUCUCCUCCAGGAUGCAGUGCUGCUGCCACAGCUGGUUCAGCUUCCUGUAGCGCUCGGGGCAGAGGUGCAGAGGGUUGCCCCGCCUGGAAAACAAAACAUUUCCACUCGCAACAAGGCCUGUCGCAAUAAAUGAUGAAUUAAAACAAGCUCAAUUUCAUCAUUUCAAUGAUUUAUCGUUUUGUUUUGCCUCCGUUUCUGACAAAACUGAACAAUUUUGUUUACAGACUCCAUGAUUAAACUUGUUAUUUUGUUUAUUUAUUUUGGAUAUUUUAAAAUGUUUGGUUUGGUUUUUGACAAUAUGUUGACAAUUAUUUUAACAAUCAAUUCAUCAUAAUUAAUCAUUUCAGUCCUAAUCUGCAUUAAAGCAACAAUCUCUGGGAUGUAUAGAGUUUAAAUAUUUAAAGUAUUAAAAUAAAAUAUCUGUGGAUUUCCAGCCUGUAUUUUGUUUUCCACUGCAUGAAUAAUUGUUCUAUAAAUCUGUUUAUCUAACAUUUAGCCGCCAACACGGCGUC